UCCAAGGAGCAGCCCCUCGACCUUAGAAACCAACUCAGACUCGACGCAGAGCAUUUGCAGGAAGUCGUUGUCGGCUAACCAUCGGGGCCCGACCAGCCACGCCUCAACGCCGAGCGCACCCGAACACUGAAGAAACCACGACUGACGCCCCAACCCCAUCUAAACAACAUGCAAACCACCGCAGAACCUCCAUCCAUCCAAGACAACCACCGACUUAGCACCGAACAACAGACCAAACCAUACCAAUCACGCUCAUUAGAAGGCAAUAAGGUAUUAAUAAAUCAAUCACACAUAUUCAAUUAAUUAUGCAAACCCUAGAAUCAGGAAACAAAAAAAACAAAAAACAAAUUAAACAUAGUAAAAUAAAUCAAAAACAUGAUUGAAAAAAAAUUGAAAUAAAUAAAAUUGAUAAAACCCGAAAAUAAUUUGAAAAGAAUAACUGGAAUCUUCAACUUUAUAGAAAAUUAAUUUUGAGACCUUAAAACUAUGAAAGAAAUAAAUUCUAAAGUUAAAAACAUAAAAAUAUGAAAAAAUGGAGAAGAGAGGUGUCUAAUA
rnacentral:lncRNA from 1 species